GGAGAGGUGGCUGAGCGGCCGAAAGCACCGGUUUGCUAAAUCGGCGUAGGAGUCACAUCUUACCGGGGGUUCGAAUCCCCCCCUCUCCG
rnacentral:tRNA from 2 species